rnacentral:lncRNA from 1 species
UAGUAGAAAGUCAAACUCCAGGCUUCUGUCUACUGUGGCUGAUACAAUGUAGUUUUGAACAUAUGCUCACAUGUGCAGCAAUUAGGAGACACUAUCAAACACCACCUGCCAAAAUGAGGAAAUGCACCCAACUUCCCGUGUGGACACUUGCAGGAUGGGUGAAUUGGGAAAAGAGGAACUGGUACAGACAAGAUGGUGGGGCUCCAUUGCAACUGGACAGAGAGGUAUAGGAAGGCUGGAGAGUGCUGAAGACAAAAGAUCAUGGGAACCAGAGGUCUUAGAACAUUUAGCCAACCUUCCCUUUUUAUCGCUGUAGUAAAUUGAAUAUUUUUGUGUGAUAAGCGUAGGCAGUUUUAGGCAUGGCACAUAGGAUCAGGGUGCUGUGAGAAAGUUUCUUUCUUUCUUUCCUGGGGACUUUUUAGAUCACAGUGUCCAGUAUUUGCCAGACAACUCAGAGACUCCUCACUACUCACCAUGUGUCAAAUGUAAGUCCAAGAAUUGAGCUAACCCAAAGUGGAGAAUUUAUAGGAUAAAAAGGAAUUAAAAGUCAACUCAGAUAACUUAGAAAAGGAAAUGUAGUUACCCUUUAUAAUACAGAAAAUUUUAAAAAUUAUUUGUAAAGGACAAGAACAUACAAAUAUAGCUAGAAUUAAUGCCCACUAUCUGUCCAUGUAGUACAUAUU